GGCCCAAAUUUGAAGGAGAGUAGAUUAGAAGGAUCAUCUGACCCUACUGAACAACUAUACUUCGAGUAUGUGCCC
rnacentral:pre_miRNA from 1 species